rnacentral:snRNA from 1 species
UUUCGCCCCAGAGUUUAGGCUACUGUGGCUUGAAGUAAAAUUUUGGAACGUCCUGCAUAUUUGUGGGAAAU